GACGAACGCUGGCGGCGUGCUUAACACAUGCAAGUCGAACGGAACGUCCCUGCUUUUGUGGGCUGCUCGAGUGGCGAACGGGUGAGUAACCCGUGAGUAACCUGCCCUUGACUUUGGGAUAACUUCAUGAAACUGGAGCUCAUCCCGGAUAGGAGCUCCUGCUGCAUGGUGGGGGUUGGUAAGUUUCGGCGGUUGGGGAUGGACUCGCGGCUUAUGAGCUUGUUGGUGGGGUGGUGGCUUACCAAGGCUUUGACGGGUAGCCGGCGUGAGAGGGUGACCGGCAACAGUGGGACUGAGACAGGGACAAGACUCCGACGGGAGGCAGCAGUGGGGAAUGUGGCACAAUGGCCGGGAGCCUGAGGCAGCAACGCCGAGUGCGGGAGAGCGGCGUUCGGGUUGGAAUCCGAUUGCGCUUGUGACGAAGAGUGAGUGAAGGUAACGGGUAAAGAAGCACCGGCUAACUACGUG
rnacentral:rRNA from 1 species